AUGCUGCUUCUUGCCAUUCUUGCAGUAUCUCUGGCAUACCAAUCAGGCCUGAAUCCACCAGGUGGAUUUUGGUCAAGAAGUACAGAUCAUCAUUCAGCUGCUGAUCGCAUCCUUGAGGAUACCCACCAUCGCCGGUUCAUUGCAUUCUUCUAUCUCAAUGCAAUCGCCUUUGUGGCAUCCAUUGUCAUGAUCACUUUGCUCUUGAACAAGAUGGCGAGCGACAAGGUUACCAAACGGCGUGCAUUGCCAAUAACGAUGAUAGUGGUCCUACUUUCCCUAACCGGAGCUUUUGCUCUAGGGAACUGCAGGGAGGCAAACAAGACUGUUUUCAUAUCAGUGCUCGUAUGUAGUGUACUUGCUUAUGUUCUCAUUCAUGUCUUGAUAGCAAUACAUAUAAUUCCUCCAGAAUGGAGAAGGCAGGUGGCGGAGAUGUUAGAGCACUCAGUUAGUCAUUUUUGCUCAGUGCCGUGUCAAUUUGGCCACAACCAUACUGGGGGUGAUACUAGUGAGAAGGAGUUGGGAAGGCGGCGUAAUCUGCUAUUGACCAUUGCUAUUUUGGCUGUGACUGUCACAUACCAAGCUGGCAUGAACCCUCCAGGAGGUGUCUGGUCUGAUGACCAGAAAGCCACGGGAACUCCGGGCAAUCCAAUCCUUCAGGAUACCCAUCCAAAACGCUAUGAUGUGUUCUACUACUCAAAUUCAGUUUCAUUUGUGUCGUCUGUGGUCGUCAAAAUAUUACUUGUGAAUAAGGAAUCCUGUGAGUAUGGAAUCAAGUCAUAUGCACUGCGAGUGUGUUUGGUGGCGGGCUUGCUUGGCCUCCUCAUUGCGUAUGUUGCAGGAAGUUGCAGAAAUAUUAAACAGUCCAUAUAUCUGAGCACCAUUGCUAUGGGAGUUCUAGUCUCCCUUCUGAUUCAAGUUCUGCUGUCUUCGAUGCAUGAUACACUAGGAAAACCAUUGGCUAAGUGUCUAGGAUUUCUACACGAUCUUCUCUUCCAUGCAGAGGGUGAACAAGUAAACACUCCUGUGAGUCCAGAAGCUUCAGUUGACGUGAGGUCAGAAGCUUCAGUUGAGGUGAGGCCAGAAGCUUCAGUUGUCGAAGAAGAAAGGGUGAGAAAGAGACACAAGUAUCUGAUGCUUCUUGCAAUUUUAGCAGCAUCGAUCGCUUACCAAGCUGGUCUGAACCCACCUGGUGGAUUUUGGUCUGAUGAUAAGGGCCAUGUAUCAGGCAAUCCCGUCCUUCGUGAUAUUAAUCACCGACGGUUCAAGAUCUUCUUCUGGUUCAAUUCUUUCGCAUUCAUGGCAUCCAUUGUCGUGAUCAUACUGCUGCUGAGUAAAUCGAUCAGGAAGAAGGCUGUGCCAAUUGGGGUAUUGCACUUGAUCAUGAUACUGGAUAUGUUGGCUCUCAUGACAGCUUUUGCUGCGGGGAGCUGCAGCAAAUUGAGGACUUCAGUGUAUGUCUAUGCACUAGUUGGCUGUGUUGUAGUAAUCCUGCUGCUCCUAAUUAUUGUGACAAGUGCAAUUGCAAAAUAUUGGAAGCCAAGAGAGGGAAGUGGGAUUAACUCCCUGAGACGUCCUGAACCUGUUUCAGGAGCAAACACAUCGGCAUGA
rnacentral:rRNA from 1 species